rnacentral:rRNA from 1 species
GGACGAACGCUGGCGGCGUGCUUAACACAUGCAAGUCGAGCGGUAAGGCCCUUUCGGGGGUACACGAGCGGCGAACGGGUGAGUAACACGUGGGUGACCUGCCCUCAGCUCUGGGAUAAGCCUGGGAAACCGGGUCUAAUACUGGAUAUGACUCCAUGACGCAUGUUGUGGGGUGGAAAGCCUUGUGCGGCUGAGGAUGGGCCCGCGGCCUAUCAGCUUGUUGGUGGGGUGANGGCCUACCAAGGCGACGACGGGUAGCCGGCCUGAGAGGGCGACCGGCCACACUGGGACUGAGACACGGCCCAGACUCCUACGGGAGGCAGCAGUGAGGAAUAUUGGGCAAUGGGGGAAACCCUGACCCAGCGACGCCGCGUGAGGGAAGAAGGCCUCCGGGUUGUAAACCUCUUUUAGUCGGAAAGAAUCCCUCGCUGUAAAUAGCAGCGAGGUUGACGGUACCGGCAGAAAAGCCACGGCUAACUCUGUGCCAGCAGCCGCU